ACACCUUCUAAUAAUGCCACUCCCUGGGCU
rnacentral:piRNA from 1 species